AUGGCCGAUUUCAAAGUAGAAAUAGAUGUUCAGUCCUACUUGACGAUUGAAGACGGCAAAAGAGUUUACAGAAGGGGCAAAACAUGGGAUUUCAUGGUCGGUCGGGACUUGUCUGUGGCGCGGAUAAAGGAGGUUGUGGAGGAGAAGUUCAAGUGGUCUCCUGAUCAAAGAAUGACCAUUUGGUAUGGAACAGGAUAUAACACCAUCCCAUUGUUCUCUGAAUCAGAGAUAGCUGAAUUGUUUGAUAGGUGUUCUAACACGAAAAUAGUGAGGUUUGGUGUGACCAUUAAGAACAAACAGCAACACAAGGAACAAGCUCCUAUCAUGGCCGAGGAUAUGGAUGAUCAACCUAUUCAUGCUCCAUUCUUUGCUUGGCCGAAGCAAGCCUAUGAAGGCGAGUAUGAGGAUGAUGAGCCUGUAGGAUGCGGUGAGGAGAACACCUAUUUGCACGAGAAUGCGGAGUCAAAGGAGAAUGCAAAGUCAAAGGAGAAAAAUGUCGAGCCAAAGGCUGCAAGAGUACCACUGGGAACACUAGAUGUUGACAACUCUUAUGAUCCACAUCAUGUGCGAGGGGAUGAUGAGACAUUACUCGCAAACAAUGUGGCUCCUACUUAUCUCCACGAUAAAAAAAAUCCUCGAAUCGAAGUAGGAGCCACAUUUCCUAACUCCAAAGCAUUUAGAGUUGCAUUGAGACAACUAGCAAUUAGAGAAGAUUGGUCUUUUGACACGCAAUAUAGUGACACUAAAAGAUCCAGGGCUAGUUGCACCGAUGAGGAUUGUCCAUGGAGGGUACAUGCCUCCAAGUUACCGAACACUAACACUUUCAUGGUAUGA
rnacentral:rRNA from 1 species